rnacentral:rRNA from 1 species
UACGGGAGUGGCAAGCGUUAUCCGGAAUUAUUGGGCGUAAAGCGUCCGCAGGCGGUCUUUUAAGUCUGCUGUUAAAGCGUGGAGCUUAACUCCAUUUCGGCAGUGGAAACUGGAAGACUAGAGUGUGGUAGGGGCAGAGGGAAUUCCCGGUGUAGCGGUGAAAUGCGUAGAUAUCGGGAAGAACACCAGUGGCGAAGGCGCUCUGCUGGGCCAUAACUGACGCUCAUGGACGAAAGCCAGGGGAGCGAAAGGGAUUAGAUACCCCUGUAGUCCUGGCCGUAAACGAUGAACACUAGGUGUCGGGGGAAUCGACCCCCUCGGUGUCGUAGCCAACGCGUUAAGUGUUCCGCCUGGGGAGUACGCACGCAAGUGUGAAACUCAAAGGAAUUGACGGGGGCCCGCACAAGCGGUGGAGUAUGUGGUUUAAUUCGAUGCAACGCGAAGAACCUUACCAGGGUUUGACAUCCUGCGAAUCCCUUGGAAACGAGGGAGUGCCUUCGGGAGCGCAGUGACAGGUGGUGCAUGGCUGUCGUCAGCUCGUGUCGUGAGAUGUUGGGUUAAGUCCCGCAACGAGCGCAACCCACGUCGUUAGUUGCCAGCAUUCAGUUGGGCACUCUAGCGAGACCGCCGGUGAUAAACCGGAGGAAGGUGUGGAUGACGUCAAGUCAUCAUGCCCCUUACAUCCUGGGCUACACACGUACUACAAUGCUACGGACAAAGGGCAGCAAACUCGCGAGAGCUAGCAAAUCCCAUAAACCGUGGCUCAGUUCAGAUCGUAGGCUGCAACUCGCCUACGUGAAGGAGGAAUCGCUAGUAAUCGCAGGUCAGCAUACUGCGGUGAAUACGUUCCCGGGCCU